rnacentral:rRNA from 1 species
UACGUAGGGUGCGAGCGUUGUCCGGAAUUAUUGGGCGUAAAGGGCUCGUAGGCGGUUUGUCGCGUCGGGAGUGAAAUCAUCUGGCUUAACUGGGUGCUUGCUUUCGAUACGGGCAGACUAGAGGUAUGCAGGGGAGAACGGAAUUCCUGGUGUAGCGGUGAAAUGCGCAGAUAUCGGGAGGAACACCGGUGGCGAAGGCGGUUCUCUGGGCCUGUACUGACGCUGAGGAGCGAAAGCGUGGGGAGCGAACAGG